GUCUAAAGAUUAACUCUUCAACACUGCUCACUGUGCAAGAACUGGGGCAGGUGAAAAACUGGAGGAAGUCUGUGUGUCAUCCUUCAGAGCAAAGGAGGGGUACCACAGGAGCCAGAUGCACAAAUGAUUACUAAAAGAGAUCGGGAAAUACACAGAGGAAAGUCUGUUGCUGGGUCAGACAACUCAGCUGUUGUCCUCAAAUCUGCCCAGACUGCUACUUUACAGUAUAUCACAGAGCUCUGCAUAUGGAAACAGACAGGCUGGAAGGUCUCUGUCCAUUGCCACCAAAGGAGAAGUGGCUGUCGCUGUCACACUCUACUCCAGUUUCAGAGGUUCUGGGCUCUAUGCAAAGCUCCCCAGAAGUUUGGCAAAGAUGCAAAAGGACAGCUAAACUUUGGCUAGACAACCCAAAACACUGUGUUCUACUUUGAAAGCAUUUCCAACAACAAAAAAGAGUGAAGUGCCUUGAAUCCAUAGAAAGCUAAAGGAACAGCAAAGGCAUCUGGCAGCAGGAAUUUGUUGCCAAACUUGUGGUUGCGUUGUGUUGGCUUACGGACUGGUUUGCCAGUUUUCAGUAACUUGCAUCAAGCGCAGCUGAAACCCACAUUUCUAAAGCCUCAGAUGGUGUCAGAGCUAGAGAAGCCUCAAGGAGUCUCCCUUCCUCUUCUCAUCUGGUCAGAACCAAAGGGAUAAAUAAAUAAGCAUCACCACAGCAGUCUGACUCUGAAAGGGGGACAAGCAACCCUUGACAAUGUGGCCACAAAGUCUGACGCUGUGCAACCCAUGCAAUGCAAUGUGGUGCCAUUGGGGUUGUGCAGCAUCCUUCCUGCCCCACCAUCAGGCCAGCAGGACCCUCUCCUGGGAGAAGGCAUCACGAUUUACAGGACAUCUAUCUUACAUGCAAAAUCAUUUGACUUUGAAAAGAAUGUAUGCUCAUAGUACAAGCACUCCGGACACCACUGGAAACGUUAAGAUGAUUCAGUCUUCCCAAAGAAUUUCAGAUGGGUUACAGGAUUAAUGUGGCUGCUACAUCUGGGGAGAAGCCAGUGAUUAUGCUUAUGGAAGGCUCCAGCACCAUGCCCUUCUCACUCUGCGGCACAAUUUUGGCCUGGGUGGAUGAGCUGCAUCCCAGCAGUCAUACAGGGCUCAGGUGAUGCUACAUCUUAGGAGCCACCCCAAGAAGCUGCUCACAUAUUGCUGCCUUGUUUUGAGGGGAAAGAUUUCCAACCACAUGGAUACAAGCUGUACCAUGGCACUUGCCGAAAGGAAUGGAGAACAAAUCCCCAAGCACUUCACUAAUACAAACCAAGGAAAUUAAGCAAAAGGUCCCUUCCAGUACUACAUCACGUGCAUUGACAUAAGGAAAAGUUAGAUAGAUGAACUCUACUUCGCUGGAUAGAACUGCCCACAAUUAAUCCAAGAGCCUCCUCUCCCAAACCAACUAUUUUUUUUUUAUUUUUUUAUCUCCCUCACCACCUUUAUUAUGAAAAUGCAUAUCUCCAAACCACUACUGCAGAAGUCCACUGGACUCUUUGGGCUAAGCAAAGCAUGAACGUGCCUUUGCUUUACGGUGUCCACUCUGGGACAGCUGAACAACAUCAAGCUUAUAGAAAGCUGGAAGCCUGAUGUUCCCAGCCCCUUGAAAAUCUAAGUAUGGUAUUUCAUAUUUAGCACCCAGAUCCUCAACAUUUGCUCCUAGAGAGCAACAAUGACAACAGUAACAGCAUCCACACCCUGCACCACAACAAUUAUCUGAUGAAAACAAAGCACUUCGCAAGGGAGGCGAAACAUCAGCAUUCUUGAUUUAGGAACUGUGCAACCAGAGGAUAAGAAAUGAAGUCACCUACCAGGCCCAUUGAGCUGAAGCAGCAGCAGAGCCGGAGUCCCUGUGCAGAUCCCCAAUACAAGCCUUUAUGCGCUGGGCCACACCUUGAGUAGAGCAGGUAGUAUCAUGCUUGACUCUCUCACAGAGCUGGUUAAGCCAUAGUUAGGAUCAGGAAGCACUUCAAAAGCUGUGGAAUAAUAAUAAUAAAAGAAGCACCAUAUAAAUGCAAAGCAUAAUUAUUAUUCAACAGAUAUUGGAAAAAUUACUGCAGUUUGUAUUUGUUUUUCUGUAUUUGUGGGAUUUAUGUUGUUUCAACACUCGAACAGAUUUUGAUAAUGACACCAUCUGUUAAUUCUCACCCCUCACUAAAUUAGAACAAGUGGCAGAAUUGUUAGAUCGCAGCUUUACAGAUCCCAGCUUAACAAAUCGGAGCCCAGGGUCAGUAUGAGGGAUUACCAGUGGUGGGACACAGCACCCAGCAAGGCACCACUUCCAACCACACCUCAGGGAAGAGCAGGGGAUCAGCAGGAGCAGCACCACUCCCACAGAACCCUCUGGAAAAGAUCUUUGGGAAGUGACAUCCUCUGUCCUGUUCUCACUAUGUGAAGUUCACUACCUUAGGUUCUGUUCAGACUGGUGGCCAGGAGCAGCAAAAAUAUGUGAAUCCCAUUUUCUGCCAACACCAAGAUGAACAAACUCCAGAAAACAACAUGAAAGAUAGCAAAGCAGGAAGAAACGUCAUCGGGUUAUGCUUCUGGCAAAGGACAUGUUCAAAGCUGCAGGAAUGUAUCGGUGUAUGGACAAGAUGAUGCCACUUGUUGCUGCUGUGUGUGGACAGAUUAAUGAACCGUGGCCCUCAGCAGCUCGGAUUUAUCUCGGAUUUUGCUGGCUGGGAGCACAGAGUUAGAGAAGCCACAGGACAAGCCCAUCAUCAUGGAGAAAGUUGGCAACAGAGUGAGACCUGCUGGCUUGCCGCCCUGGGCUCUGAGCUUCCUGCAAGCUUCUUGCUAGCAAGGGGCAUUGUAGAAGAGCUGUGGACCCAGGUGGUCCAGGGCAAGGCAGCUCCUUUUCCACUGGCUUUGAGAAGGUGGUCGGCUGGGAUGGGGAGAUGGCAGCCCAGCAGAUCCUCGCUGGCUCAGAGCAGUCCCUCUGGUCGAGCUCCCCUUGCACAGCCCUAUCCAACAGGCAUUGUCUGGAAGCAAUUAGAGAGACUUUUAUUUUUUUUCCAUCGUUGCCUGACAACCUCAGCAGACGCACAUGUAGUCAUCCCCCUCUGCUUCUAAAGAACUUUGCUUACUAUUAACUAUUUAAAUGUUGAAAGUAUUAAAGCUAAUUGAACUCAUUGCUCAGAGAACUGAGUCUGAGGUCAACUGUCGUCUACGGUAACACUGUUUGGGUAAAAGGACUUGGGG
ensembl:lncRNA